rnacentral:tRNA from 1 species
GUGGGUGUAGCUCAGUUGGUAGAGCACUUGGUUGUGGCCCAAGUGGUCGCAGGUUCAAGUCCUGUCACCCACC